CUCUCUCUCUCUCUCUCUCUCUCUCUCUCAGUGUAUGUAUCCAACUAACGACAUCAUUAACCAUUAGCAUCAUCGGAUGAACCUGCAGAUUUCCGUCAUUACGAUACGGUCUUGUAGCACAAAAACUAUCGGUUUUAAGGAGGAUCGUGAUUGUGAUUAGGUUGUUUUAUUAUAUGGAGGGCUGGUGUCAUUCUCCUUCUUCUUCAUCGUCAUCGUGCUCCUUCUUUGGUUCUGCAGCUGUUGGGGCUAUGGCAUAUGCGUCCAAAGUCUCCGCCCCCGGGGGAUUUGGAUUUGGACUGGAAACGAAGGCAAACGCUCAAGCUCCAGUUCUUGGAGACACAGAUCGAUUUACUUGCGAUGCACGGUAAAACUGCUCUCUUAGAAAUGACACGUACUGUGCUUGAUUACGGAAGAUUUCAUUGCAAGCAUGCAGGAGGAGUAGUACUUAAAAUCACUCAAAGGCCUUCAACCAGCUUCCCGGUGAUGCAAAGAGUAUGACAUGGCUCCACACAUUUAUUAGUAUAAUGGGGCCGAAACCGAACCUUUUAUUGCAACGAAUCGAGAGAUCCAGAUCAAGUCCACCCAUCCUUCCUGGAUAGAGAGGAUCUGCACCAGGUUUUGCAUCAAUCUUCCACCGAUUUGUUGCUUUCGCGGCUUCCUAAUUCAGCUAGAAAUACCAAUAUUUAACUGUUGUACCAGCUCUGGGUCAUCUAGCUUCUGCAGCUGUUUAUUAAAAUGUAGAAAGUGUUGCAAUUUUCUAGAUUUAUUAUCGCCAACUUGUUCGUGCCGCCGAUUCAAGAUCGAUGCUCCUGUAAUUGUACAUGAGAGGUCUUGAGUCUUUGCUGAUCGAAAAAAACAAUCUGCUGUAAUAUAAGUCAUCUAUGAUAUUAUCACAUUUUUAAC